UCAGGGAUUUUAGCUGCCAACCAAAGAAUAGAUUUACUCCAAGCUCAGGUAGAAGAAUUGGCUGACUUGGUGCUUUUGGGUUGUAUUGAUCAACGUGCACAUUUAUGUAUAACCUCUGUCAGAUUUAAUAAUUCCAGAAAUGCCUCCCGCAUCAUCGGAGAGUAUCUAUCCGGAACCUGGUCCAUGGCAGCGGAAGACAUGAUCCAGUCUCAACUAACCCAGAUAGCUGUCUUGAACAGUACUCGUGUCGAUCCUGUGACUUUGGGUCAAUUCACCGAUUGGAUAUCUUCUGCUUUUUCCUUCUUCAAAGAGUGGGUGGGAGUAGGCAUUUUUGGGGCAAUGUGUUGCUUCAGUGUUGUGCUUUGUUUGUGGCUUCUCUGUCGCCUUAAAACUCGCCAUGCACAAGAAAAGGCUAUGAUCAUACAAGCUCUUGCAGCUUUAG
rnacentral:lncRNA from 1 species